ensembl:lncRNA
CAGUUGUGUUGAUUCUGCCACACCGCUGUUCCCCACAGAGCCGCACGUCCAGACAGCAGCGUCAUAACUAGUGCCACCUUACUCUCCUCAGAGGAAAAUGUCAUGGGCUGCAGAGAGAAGUAAAUCGAACACUUGGUUAAAAAGGCUCUGCACAAAUUUGGUUCACCUGAAUACCUCUCAGGCGUGGGAAUGCGCGGCUCCAGCCGGUUAAUGUUGGGACUCUCCGGGGAAACAAGCGGGGGCGGUGCUGGCGCAGUGGGACCUCUCAGACGUUGUAAUUGAGAGGUGAGCUCGGACACCUGCGUUACCAGAGCCUGUAUCGCCCGACCCGAGGCUCCGAUCUGUUCAUCCUGAUGAUUCAUGCGGGCGUGGUUACCGGCGAACAUCUGUUCAAACCUGGCUGCACUCGCUGAAUCCAUGGUGUGGUCAGAUGGUUCUGUCAUGGCUCGAAAGAACAGUCAAGGAUCCAAUAGCAAGUGCCAGUAAUGUUUAUUAACAUCCAAGAACAGAGGUAGUGUCGGUCCAAAGGCAGCAGACAAAGUCAAUACUUGGCUCGGCAACGCAGGACUCAGGGGCAGACAGCUAGCAGGAAACCAGAACACGAUCCUCCUAACAAGGCAGACAUCCAACCGGACACCGGAACUGGAGCAAGGGGAAAAGACGGCCAGUGCCGACCCGGGAACCUCCACAACCAUCUGACAAAGACAAGACGGAGUGACAAACAAUAUAUAGGACAUUCUCAUUCAAAACAGCUGGCGCUGAUCAGCUCAUCAGGCCUUCCAAAAGAGGACAAUUUCCACUUCGUCAUGCCUGGAGCUGAUCCCUGCUGGUCGCUGAGGAAAUACAUCAACUUUGCACCGUGUUUCACCAUGGGCGAAGCGGAGUCCAGCCGAGGUCAUCACAUGUGGUUGCCGCAAGCCCAACGGACGCUCCUCGUAGAAUUCAUCGGCCGCGCCAUUCUCAAGCCGCCCGCCUCUGCUCACUCAAGCCAGCCUCCGCUCACUCUUGGCCGUGGUGUGUGACGCUGUUUCGUUGCGAAAGCGAAACUACUUUGUUUGGCCUUCCAAAAUAGGACAUGACUAGAAAUCAUGUUUAUAUCACAUUUAUAAUGGGUUUUAUGUUUAUGUCUCGUUACUCCGGCCAGACAGGGCAUCACAAUAUGUUAAGGGGCGUAACAUUUCCGUCACAAGCUUGAGGUAUUCGGCCAAUCACAACGCACUGGAUAGCUGGCCGAUCAGAGCACACCUUGAUUUUCAGAGUGAUGAGCCUUUUAAAAAUUGACGCGUUUCAGAAGGCGGGGCAUAGAGUAAAAACUAUAAUGUACAGUAUGUGGAAAAUAAUGUGUUUUUUGAACCUUAAACCACAUAAACACAUUUCAUAAC